UGGGGAAUCUUGCGCAAUGGGCGAAAGCCUGACGCAGCAACGCCGCGUGUGUGAUGAAGGUCUUCGGAUCGUAAAGCACUGUCGGGAGGGACGAAUAAGGUGGCGGCUAACAUCCGUCGCUGAUGACGGUACCUCCAAAGGAAGCACCGGCUAACUCUGUG
rnacentral:rRNA from 1 species